CUCACUUUAAUUUAAAUCACACACAUUUCGUCACAUGUUCCGGGGUGCUUGAGUCAAACUCUAAGUCGGACGCAUGGGAAAUGUGGAGGCCUAAC
rnacentral:sRNA from 1 species